rnacentral:rRNA from 1 species
CUACGGGACGCUGCAGUGGGGAAUCUUAGACAAUGGGGGAAACCCUGAUCUAGCCAUGCCGCGUGAGCGACGACGGCCCUAGGGUUGUAAAGCUCUUUCAGCAGGGAAGAUAAUGACGGUACCUGCAGAAGAAGUCCCGGCUAACUCCGUGCCAGCAGCCGCGGUAAUACGGAGGGGACUAGCGUUGUUCGGAAUUACUGGGCGUAAAGCGCGCGUAGGCGGAUUGUUAAGUCGGGGGUGAAAUCCCGGGACUCAACCCCGGAACUGCCCUCGAUACUGGCAGUCUUGAGUUCGGGAGAGGUGAGUGGAAUUCCGAGUGUAGAGGUGAAAUUCGUAGAUAUUCGGAGGAACACCAGUGGCGAAGGCGGCUCACUGGCUCGAUACUGACGCUGAGGUGCGAAAGCGUGGGGAGCAAACAGGAUUAGAUACCCCGGUAGUC